AGGCUACCGCUAUUGGAGUUCGAUUAAGCCAUGCGAGUCGCGAGUCUUAGGGACUCGGCGUACCGCUCAGUAACACGUGGGUAACCUGCCCUAUGCUGGGGGAUAACCUCGGGAAACUGAGAAUAAUACCCCAUAGUUCACCACGCCUGGAACGGUGAGUGGAUGAAAGCCCCGGCGGCAUAGGAUGGGCCUGCGGCGUAUCAGGUCGUAGGGGGUGUAACGUACCCUCUAGCCAUCGACGCGUACGGGUGUUGGGAGACAUAGCCCGGAGAUGGAUUCUGAGACACGAAUCCAGACCCUACGGGGUGCAGCAGGCGCGAAAACUUGGCAAUGCGAGAAAUCGUGACCAGGGAACUCCAAGUGGCUGGGGUAAGACCCAGUCUUUUCUUGACUCUUCAAAGGUCUUGGAAUAAGAGGUGGGUAAGGACGGUGCCAGCCGCCGCGGUAAUACCGGCGCCUCAAGUGGUAGUCGAUUUUAUUGGGCCUAAAACGUCCGUAGCCUGUUUGGUACAUUCGUGGGUAAAUCAACCAGCUCAACUGGUUGAAUUCUGCGAGCACGGCCAGACUUGGGACCGGGAGAGGUGUGGGGUACGCUCAGGGUAGGGGUAAAAUCCUGUCAUCCUGAGCGGACCACCUGUUGCGAAGGCGCCACACUAGAACGGAUCCGACGGUCAGGGACGAAGCCUAGGGGCACGAACCGGAUUAGAUACCCGGGUAGUCCUAGGUGUAAACGCUGUGGACUUGGUGUUGGGGAUGAUCCGAUCAUUCUCAGUGCCGAAGCGAAGGUGAUAAGUCCACUGCCUGGGGAGUACGGUCGCAAGGCUGAAACUUAAAGGAAUUGGCGGGGGAGCACCGCAACCUGAGGAUUGUGCGGUUU
rnacentral:rRNA from 1 species